rnacentral:rRNA from 1 species
GGCUUAAUUUGACUCAACGCGGGAAAUCUUACCGGGUCCGGACACACUGAGGAUUGACAGGCAAUAUAUGUGACUCUUCGGAGUUUGCAUUGUUAAAUAUGCUAGUCCUUUCAUGAUUAUGUGAUAGGUGGUGCAUGGCCGUCUUAGUUCGUGGAGUGAUCUGUCUGCUUAAUUGCGUUUCAAAUUACUUAUAAGGUAGCAAUACGCGAUGAAACUUUCAAUAUCUCUCACGAGAUUCACUUGAGUCUCUCGCUUCGCUAUCCUUUCAAUGCACGAACGUGACCGCAACCUCUUGUUGCCUUC